rnacentral:tRNA from 1 species
GAGGGUAUAGCUCAGUAGUAGAGUGCCUGCUUAGCAUGCACAAGGUCCUGGGUUCAAUCUCCAGGACCUCA